UUCAGUCCAAUAUAAAGCGCACUGCUUUAAAGAAUAUAAUUACUGUAUUCAAGCGGAUAGGAAUUACACUGACUGUCAACGUUGAAAAUAUGGAAACACAUUUGUUCAUGAACUGUAUGAAGUUAUCAUCCAUUUAUGAUAUAUCUGGAACAUAAAAUCUUACAGGAGGAUAUAUAUUCUUAUUUUGUUAAUGUAAAGACAAGAUUCAGUCAUGGCAGAGGGUGGCCGUAGCGACGACGAAAGGUACCCGAUCCCUGGUGAAGAUGAAGAACUGAGGAGAACCGUUGUAUAAGCUAUUCGCAAUGACAGAAGCAUAAUUCGCAUUUCGUAUAUUCUUAGUCUACAUAACCAUUCUCGAAAUAAUAAAUGCAAGAAAUUGUUACGCUUGCACGCCUGUUAAAGAAAUUAUGGAGGAACAGCGAAGUAUAACGACUGAGAUGCAAAAUGGAUAACGCUCGUUAUACAUUGCUACUUCUAGUCGUAGUUACUUCCAAGUGCUCCUUCUGCCAGUAUGCUACCAAAUGAGGACAGGUCGUUAGACGAUGUUGUCCAACACCAUUUUAAUCUUGGAUACCAGAAAUGGCUGGACUGUUAUUGUUUGUACAUCAAAUAAUAAUUAAUUAAAGGAAAAAAACUAACAAUGGAACGUCCUAGUCUGCGUAUAAGAGGUGAAAGCAGACAAGGAGAAAUUGCUCGUGCGAUUUUGCAGCUAAAUCGACAAGGAUAUUCAGAAAACAGAGCUGUAUGGCGAAUGCUAUUCUUAAAGUCAUUAGAGAACAAUAAGGAUUGCUCCUAGGGGAGUUGACAACAUAAUUGCAAGACGAUUAAAUUUAUGUAAACAACGGACCAAACUUUAUAAUUCACGUUAACGGAUAUGAUAAGUUAAAAUCAUUUUGAAUAUCUAUACCAGUACACGGAGUUAUUAGCGGUUUUUCCAGAAAAAAAAUCUGUGGUUAAAAGGCUGCAUUAUCAAACAAAUCCCCACGUAUCGUGGAUUUCUAUUUUACACAGUAUAUUAGGAAACUUUUAGAGAAUCUUCAAAUCACAUUAAGGAUGUUCCAUACAUGUCAGGAUAUUACUGUUUUUCUGUGGGGAGAUCGACGGAUAAUCGAAGAAUUGAACAGUUGUGUAGCUUCCUAAAGAGAAAUUUCACUUCUUACUGGAGAAACUUUAUACCUGAUUCAAAACCAUCUUGACAGUUUCAUGAAGUCAUGGAAUAAACACAGUCACAAUUCGGUCGCAAAGGAGUACUGAAUGUGUAACGGACAAACCCAACAUGUUGUAUUACCAGCCUAUGAUGUUUGGUUGUAUAGGUUGUUCUUUUGAAAUCAACUCAACUGUUCUGAAGAAGAUCUAGAAACUCUUAUGCAUGUGUACACUGAGAACCUUCUUAUACAUGGUUGCUCCGUCGGAACGAUGCAAUUAAGUAAAAUGUUAACGUUAAAUGUGGACUUCUUUUAAGAACUGAGAACAGCAGAACAACGAAAAUUCUGUUAGAGUUAGGUAUUGAUAACCUUCUACGACACAAUGACACUUUUGCUUAAUCAUAAAUUAUUCUUAUAAUAUUGUACACAUCGUUUUAUCCUUUUCUUAGUUUGACAAUAUAUAUAUAUAUAUAACAAAUAAAAAAGAACCCGGAACGGGUUAUAUAUAUAUAUACCCUAUAAGCGUAUGAUAUACAUGUGAAUGUUAGACAAUCAUUUUGUGGUUUAUUACUCGUAUAAGCGUUAUAAGUAUGCAUAAAUAUUCAUUUGAAGAAACAGCAUGGAUAAAAAAUUUACGUAACACGUAUUUUGAUAUUUAGAAUAGUGUGAAGACUGAACAUUAUUCUUUUCAUUUUUGUUUUGCAGACUGACAUGCUAAGAACUAGAACCUAAUACAAGAAUAUACUAAAACUGUAAUGGCUUAUUUUAUACUCGUACAUAUAAUUAACCAGAUAAAAAAAUUUGGUUUUAAAAUUGAUAAUCAAAAUGUAGGAAUUGUACGGCAAAGGUACGGCAAAGGUUCAUUAGAAGGCAUAUGUGUAUGGAAGUGGAUAUCCGCCAGUACAUGCACCCUGGGAAAUGCAUCUUUGCUUAUUUCAUUUUAAUGAAACAAUGCUAACUUACAGGUGUCUUUAUUGCUUCUUUCAAGUAUGCUACUUGUAAAUCUGUACAUGUAUCAUGUUGUGUGAUACUGCAUUAAAACUUAAAUACAAUCUAUUUUGCAUGCUGCUUGGUGAAUCUGUUUAUUGCUACUGCUGUUUCGCAUUUGUAAUGAAAUGAUGCCUUAAGUUGCAUUUGUCAUUUGUGCUUGUAUACACAUGAUAAGUCUGAGCUGUCGUUUUAAUUAUUUUACACUUUGUCUUAUUUCCAAUUGUAAUCAUGACAAAUCAACAACAAGAAGGCCAUGAUGGUCCUUAAUCGUUCACCUGAAUACCAUACCAAGGGUCAAGGUGAUCAUGCCCAGGUCCUUUGACAACAAGGUCAACUACUUGUCAGAACUCAAGAUCAUAUACUGGUCACGAAUUACCACUGUACCAAGUUUGAGGGUCCUACUCCUAACAAAGUAGUAAUCCCGACUGCCACAGUAGGAAUCCCAUGUUUGAGAGGGAAUAUGCUUAUAUCUUUCUGCUAGACAAUACACAGUUAAAAUAUGUUAUAAACAACCCGAAGAACUUUUACUGCAGACUGUAUUGUUAAAAUGUGUAUUAAAUGGAUUAAAGUAUACAGGGUUCAGUAAUGUGUAAAAUUAUAUAUGUACAGAGUAUGUCUCUGUUGUUUACCUGUAAUUGCGUAUUCUUGCUCAAACUCGUCUAAUGGUGAUUUUCUAUCCAUCAUAUCUUUAUAAAUAUACGUUUUAUUUGACAAGUAAAGCAUAGCAAAAGUUCCUUCUAUGGCAUAUCUAUAUAAAUAUAUAAUGAUCAUCUUGAAAAAUUAUGGUUGCAAUGUCUGUUGUAUACUGCCAAAAAAUGUCAAGUUAGAAAUUACGCUAGUUAUCUAACAUAAAUUGUUAAAUCCAACAACAAAUCAAAUCUGUUACCAUUUUCAGUAGAGUAAAUACGACAAUAAGACAUUGACCCGGUCAAUUCAUUACAAUUCGAUGGGUGAAUUUGUUGCGGAUAAUUAGAGGGUCACAAUGGGGUUUGUUUUCACAUAUUAACCAUGCAUUUAAAGGUAACGAUAAUAUUUAGUUGUUUACAUGUAAAUGUGCUGAUAUAUGUCUAUCUGGUCGACUAAAUGUACAUAUGUUAUGUUCUUCAAGAAUUGAGGAAAUAAAAGAAUCAAUUAAUCA